rnacentral:rRNA from 1 species
CCGCCGGCGACCGGCGCACGGGUGAGUAACACGUAUGCAACCUGGCCGUGACAGAUGGAUAACCGGGAGAAAUCCCGCCUAAUACAACAUAAUGCCGGGAGGGGACAUCCCCUGCCGGCCAAAGGGGGCGACCCGGUCACGGAUGGGCAUGCGGCGCAUUAGGUAGUUGGUGGGGCAACGGCCCACCAAGCCGACGAUGCGUAGGGGUUCUGAGAGGAAGGUCCCCCACAUUGGAACUGAGACACGGUCCAAACUCCUACGGGAGGCAGCAG